GAAGCGGUAGGAGGCUAGAGAGUCCCAGGAAGCGGCUCUGGGGACGAGUGUCUUGGUAACGCUUUUCCGCCCUAGGAUUCGUACUUUGGUGCCGUUUCCGAGCGUUCCGGUACCGGCUCUCAAGGUUCCUGUUUUCAGUGCAGGUUGCAGGCGGGAACCGGCCUCGUCCCAGCCCUGGGCCUGGGCGAGAGAAGGAAGCCGAAGAAAACCAACUUCGGCAACCUCCGGAGACAGGACGUUUAAAAAAGGCUAACUUGGCUGGGCGCUGAGGCUCACGCCUGUAAUCCCAGCACUUUGGGAGGCCGAGGCAGGAGGAUCACUUGAGCUCAGGAACCAGCCUGGGCAACAUGGCGAGACCCCAUGUCUAAAAAAUAUAUAUAUAUAUUAGCCGGUCAUGGUGGCGCGCGCCUGCAGUCUCAGCUACCCCGGAGGCCGACGCGGGAGGAUCGCGGGAGCCGAAAGGUCGAGGCUGCCGUGAGCCGAGGUUGCACCACUGCACUCCAGCCUGGGCGACAGCGCAAGACCCUGUCUAAAAAUAAAUUUUAAAAAAAAUUGUGAGGCCUUCAUUCUAUGCUAGUACUGUACUAGGUGCUAAUUAUUAAGUAAAACCGACUGAACUCUUGCCCUCAUGGAGCUUACAGUUUAGUGAAGACAUUACCUAAAGCAGUAUGACUAAAUAUAUAAUGACAUAUUGUAAUAGCUUACAUAACAGUAAAAUGAGAGGUUGGGGAGGGAUUAUUUAUGCUUUAAGAAGUCGGGAAUCCUGGAACGGAAUGGCAUUAGACUGAGACACGGAAGAGCCACGGGAUCUAUCGCUGGGGAAGAGCAUUCCAGACAGCGAGGAACUCGUGCCGAAUGAUCCCGCUGUGGACAGGUUGAGAGCAGAAUUUUAAUAGGCAAAAGAAAGAGACGAGCUCUCUGCUGCAGACAGGAGUCCUGGAGAAAUGGGUUGCCCUCUUUUUUCUUUUUCUUUUUUUGGGACAGUCUCUCACUGUCACCCAGGCUGGAAUUCAGUGGCGCAUUCAUACCUCGCUGCAGCCUCAACCUCCCAGGCUCAAUCGAUCCUCCCACCUCAGCCUCCCGAGUAGCUGGGACUCUAGGUAUUUAACCAUUUUUCUAUUGGGAUUUGGUCUUCUCCACCCCCCAUCACAGAUUUUUGUAAUUAGAGGGCACUUUUCCAAACAAAUGAUUCUUAAGGUCCUGCUAUCUCUGAAUAAUAUUUUUAUAGAACAAGCAUAACUAUAAUUGGAUCAAUCAUCUAACCUUUCAGAUCCUCAACUUAGUCUUCUGUUAAUGAGAGGAUUAAAUCCAUGAGUUAAAUGUUCCCUAAGAAUCAGUGUGUCUCCAACUUCAGUGUACAAACAGCAGGUCACCCAAGGAUCGCAGUGGGACGCAGACGCUGAUUCCGCAGUUGUGGACUUGGUGGAGGUGGGCGCUCUCUCAGUCCAUCUGGGCUGCUAUACAAAGUGCCACAGACGGAGUGGCUUACGAACAGCAGACGCUCAUUUCUCACUCUCUGGAGACUGGAAGCCCAAGAUCAAGGUGGCAGAAAAUGCCGUGUCUGAAGAGGAACCGUUUCCUUGUUCACAGCCUCUUCUCGCUGUGUCCUCGCAGAAGGGCUGAGGGAGCUCUCCAGGGGCCUCCUUCAUAAGGGCACUCAUGCCAUCGUGGGACUCCGCUCUCACGACCUCAUCACCUCCCAAAGACCAUCACUUUGGGGCCGGCAGAGCCUUUAUUAUUAUCAUCGUCCGUGGACCAGUGCAAGUGAGAGGAAUGUGCGAGGCUGUAAUGAGGGUGACCUCCUGGGUUAGCACACGCCCAACUGAAGCAAGGUCACGGGCUUGCUCUGUAAAGUCAAGGCCACUUUUCCUGUAUGGCAGUAAACCAUCUCUAGACAUGGGCGACCUGUGCAUAUAUGGAAGGAGAGAACAGAAUUGGAGCAAUGCACCAGAUGCACACAACCAGCAAACGUAGAGCUGGAAUCCGAAGUCAAUGCAUGUGAACGUCACAGCUCAGAGAGAGGCGGUGAGCAGGAGAGGACUGGGUGAAAAUGGUUCGCACACACACCUUUGUCUUCAUCAUUUAGUUCUCCAGGGUGUCACAUGGACUACGCCACUUGACCUCCACAGUGAUUCUGUGGCACUUGUGCACCAGGAACUUUAUCCCUAUUUUGCCAGCAAGGAAACUUAGGUUUGGAGCGGGUAAAUCACCGCACAAAGCCUUACUGUAAAGAGCGCCAGGCCUCAAACUUUUGCUGGCAUUGUCCUUCGCAGGCUUACUUUAGGGCCUGUCAUUUACUGGGGUGAAACACAAAAGUUCCUUGUCUCCGAAAGACUGCAAUUAAAGUGCCAUUAGCACAGUAAUGUGCCAGCCAGUUGUUCCUUGGGCCGCAAGGGGGCAUGUCUACUGCUGUUCAGUCUCAGUGGGUAAACUGGAGAGUCCUCCCACAACGAGCAGAUUCCGAGGGGAUGUGUACACAGAAGGACUCACGGGUUGGGGAGGCAGCAGUGGCAGUGGCGUUCUGUCCGAGCCUGAUUGUGUUGCUGUAAAGGAAUACUCGAGGCUGGGUAACUUAUGAAGAAAAGAGGUUUAUUUGGCUCAAGGUUCUGCAGACUGUACAAGAAGCAUGGCUCCAGCAUCUGCUUCUGGUAAUGCCCUCGGGGAGCUUCCACUCAUGGCAGAAGGGGAGCUGGCAUCAGAUGGCAAGAGAGGAGUGUGGGAGGUGCCAGGCUCGUUUCAACAUCAGCUCUGGCAAGAACUAACAGAGCAAGAACUCACUCUUUCCCGAAGGGACAAGAGGAUGUCACCAAGAGGCACAUGACCCCAAGACUCCCAAUAGGCUGCACCACCAACACCAGGAAUCAAAUUUCAACAUGAGAUUUGGAGGGACCAGGUAUGCAAUCUAUCUAUCCACUCCAAGCAUCCAUUUGACACCCAGAAUGCAUUAUUUCAGCACCCGUAUCCAUUCAACGAAAGUAUUUUUAAUUAUAAUCAUGUAAUAGGAAUAAUCGUCAUUUUCCUAAUUAUUCUUUGGUUUUAAAACCAAGAAUUGGUGGGGCAUGGUGGCUCACACCUGCACUCCCAGCACUUUGGGAGGCCUCAGGUAGAUCACUUGAGGUCAGGAGUUAGAGACCAGCCUGGCCAACAUGGCGAUACCCCGUCUCUACUAAAAAUACAAAAAUUAGCUGGGCGUGGUGGCGGGCGCUUGUAAUCCCAGCUACUGGGGAGGCUGAGACAGGAGAAUCACUUGAACACAAGAGGUGGAGGUUGCAGUGAGCCAAGAUCGUGCCACUGCACACCAGCCUGGGUGAUGAGAGUGAAACUCCAUCUCCAAAAAAAACAAAAACAAA